CAUUACACAAGCUUCUCGGAGAUGAAGAAACGUGACGAUCACAUCAUCAAUAAGAGUGACGAAGAGGCCUUCCUGGACACCGCGCUAGCCAAGAACGAAGGGGGCUUCUUCAGAUCUGGGGCUUCCGGUGGAUGGAAGAAGGUCUUGACCCAAGAACAGAAGGACAAAUUUGAGGCUUGGAUCGAGAAGAACUGCCCCGACAAAGAGAUCAUGGAGACCAUCCUCAACCCUUGAUGAAGGAGCCCAUUGAAACGGUCAUGCUGAUUAUCACAAAUAUGGUAUCAUACUUAUGAAAUUAUUGUGAUUCGAAUUAAUACGAAAUUUUAGGGCUUUUUUGUGUUUGAGACCAACAAAUGUGAUUAUAAUUACACCGAGAAAUAGUUUGGCGUUGAAUAUGUACCUUUUAAUUAAGAUGUAAUCCGCCCGAAGAAGAAUUACACCUUAGAACGUGUUCUAGAGAAACGUGUCACAAAUAAUUACUAUUCGAUGUUUUUCUAAACGAAACAUAUGUCCAGAGUUUUAUUUGAUAUUUACACCGCAUAUUAACAUGAUAUCGACUCAUAUGAUAUAUACGCCCCGCAUCAACAUAACAUAUGACGGAGAAAUAUAAUAUAAAGUUGAUAUAUACGCCCCAUACAAACAAAAUUAAUGAUGCGAUUCUUUCCUGCAUUUCAUGCAAUUGACUGGACGAAUGCAAUGCUGUGAUGAAGCAUAGUCCUAACUACAACUAUCCGUGUUCUCAUAUUAUUUGCUUCAAACUGAUUCUAAUUUAAGUAUUAGAGACGAUUAAUUCAUUGUGUACUGAAUACAUAUUUGGCCACAUGCGAGACUUUUUCCUAUCGUAUGAAGUCUAAUAAAGAAGAGUUUACAAUGA